UACGUAGGGGGCAAGCGUUGUCCGGAAUCAUUGGGCGUAAAGCGCGUGUAGGCGGUUCGGUAAGUCUGCUGUGAAAGUCCAGGGCUCAACCCUGGGAUGCCGGUGGAUACUGUCGGACUAGAGUACGGAAGAGGCGAGUGGAAUUCCCGGUGUAGCGGUGAAAUACGCAGAUAUCGGGAGGAACACCAAUUGCGAAGGCAGCUCGCUGGGACGUUACUGACGCUGAGACGCGAAAGCGUGGGGAGCAAACAGG
rnacentral:rRNA from 1 species